rnacentral:lncRNA from 1 species
GAGAAAUAAAAAUUGAUAUUUUUAACCGUGGCCAUCAAAACAGUUAACACGCAAUGACUGGGCUUAUAAAAGCAUAUUUCACUCCAGUACCAGCUUUUUGAGGAGCUACUCUCGCGCUGUCUGACAGGUGGUAGGCUAUUCUGCUCCUCAAACUAGACUCUGUAUGCUGUGCUUGUGAUAACUAAGAAGCAUGACGACUAACAAAAAUACACACACCAAUUUAAUUUCACAAAAUUAUGCAAAUGAACCUAUAGACCGAUAAGCAUGACUGGUCAAAUGUAUUUUCGGCGGCUAACCUAUUAACCGUUAACCGUUAACAUCCCUACAAGAAGUGCACUGGAAUGACAUUCACUCUCAUGGGAUGGGUGGCCAAAAAUAACUAACUGAAAGCCACACUCCCAAUAAGCCAUGAAUAUGACCGCAUUGAGGCAUAUGUCACUGUGCUUCUAUGGCUAUAUGCACUAUAUAAAUGCACCAUACCACUGCCUGCUUUGUUCAUUUAGCAAACAAGACCGCUCAUAAUCCAGUGCCUUUAUCACAGUCAAUACACAUAUUUGAGCUUUAAAAAUGCUAUUUUUUUUCUCUGCCUCAUGACAAAAUGAAUAGAAGUGCUGUAAAUUAGGGGGGGACCAAUUCAUUUCUGGCUACACUACUGCAGGGGUUGGCUUAGAUUGAUGACAACAUGUAAACUAUAUUUAAUUUCCAAAUGUUUAUUGAAAACAUAAAUACAUUUGCACAAUGAGCACUUGUCUCAUAGAUCGUUAAAGUUGUUGAUUAGCUAGCUCAUUUUAGCCAUAUUAGCAUUGACAUGAAAUCAGUCAAAACACAUCAAAACAAGACAUGGUAUCAAGAACAAGAUAAAACUAGCUGAAAUGAGCCACCUACGAUUCCCCACAUGGCAACUUCUUGUCAUUGUUACUAGCCAUCUGACCGUUCAGAAUCAUAACAAAGCUCAGCUUCCGGCCCCAUUGUGUGUCAUUUUCGUGACGCCAGCCAACUUGUAUGACGUAGGCAAAGUGUGAAGAUGUUAAAGAUCAUUGGAUGAGACUGAGUUAAGGAUGCACGAUUUGACAUUGGACUCUGCAGGUUGACCAAACUUAGUUUAGCGUUUGGUCGCUUGAUGGUACGAAACAUGUGCUUUUUGUUUCUUUUUCAUUGAAGAGACUGGAGCUACAAGGUAACUAGGAGUUAUUUUAGUGGUAAUUCAGUAAUUGAACAGUACGGGGUAUGUGAUUAGGGCCGGGACGACACCAGUAUCGCAAUACUCCUUAGUAUCGUGGCAAGGAAAUAAAACACAAAGCAGGUUGAACUUCUUUAUCAAAACUAUCAUUAUGUUAUCAUCCAGAGUCACAUUUUGGCAUUCGUGACUCUGCUCAGUGUGUGCUAAAGCUCAGGGUGGAAAUAUCUUUGGGGGAGUAUUUUUUUUCUCUCCUGAUGUGCAAUUUCACCAACAAUAUGAAGAAAUGUGAAUUGUGAACUUUUUACAGGGGGCAUUCAAAGGUCAUUUUAUUUGCCAACAAUUGAUUUGGUUGGCCAAGUGUUAUAUCAUUGAAAACAGUAUUCCUCCACUGCUGUAUGGGCCACUUGAAGGUUUUGCAGAACCGUGUUGUGUUUCAAGGCACUUGGGAGUAUUCCUGUCAGGUGGCAAGCACACUGAAAUGGCAAAAGAAGAGCCGAAAUCCAAGUUAGGUUGAAUCAUUUCAUCAGAGGAGGAAGGUUGUAUACGUGCUAUGCACAUAGACAUGACAUGCUAUGCAGAUCAAUCAGGAGAACUAAAAAUAAGUCUUGAAGGAAAUUAAGAUCUCCUUUUGAAGGUUUUGUUAUUUAAUGUUUUCCUUAAAUGUUAUAUCGCUUUAAGUAAGGGAAACCGGGGCUUCAUGUGGGAAUCAUUUCUCACUAAUUACACUUUGUUAUACAUUACUAACCGUCUUUUUUAUGAAAUUAAUACAAUGUGUGAAGUAAAAAAAUACAUAUAUUUGACUAUAGUUUAAUAUACAAUUUAGAUGGAGGUUAUAAGUGAAAUAUUAAUAUAUUACUAAUCAGGAAAAAAAGUAGUUUUUUUUUUAAAUUGGAGAAACUAUUUCAAAGAUCAUUUUUAACAGUCAUUUUCUAUAUAUUCUUUUAUUUUUGUAAAAGAUGAGAUGCAUGUAGAUUUUAUACAUAACCAAAGGAACACUAAGAAUUGCAUGGCAGAUAAGGGGGUGCUUGGGACAAUGUAUUUCAGUGCAGAUAAGCUUUGCAAGUGGAGCCUGUUCAAAGACCUGCCAUUUUAACAAAUGACAAGGCAGGUGAGGUGAGGCAAAGUGGAUGCGUGGACCAGUAUAACUUUAUUUUCCAAAUUGACUUGCCACUUAUUUAGUUCAUUUGACUUGACUAUUGUGAAAUUUAAAUACAAAUAAAAACCUCACAUGAAAUGUACACAAUGGAGGACAUUUUGCUUUCAGCAGUGAUCUCUCAGGGUCAUUCAAAAAUAAUAACAAUGGAAACAUCUUCCUUAAGGGGGUAAUCAGAUAAUCAUCAGAAUAACAACAUUUAUUUAAGGUGAAUUUCUUUGUUAAAAUACAAGAUUGUAAACCAACAGCCCCUCGUGUUCUGCCGUUUUCUUGAUAUGGCAUCCUUGACACAAGUGUCUUGGAUUCAAGCCACUUUCAAUUUAACACUUUAAAAUACAAAUUCUAAUUUUACUGUAAGACGGAAGUAUACAAGAUAUCUUUAGUCAUAUAUCAUAAUAAUAGUCUCGUUCGAGGUUGUUAAACUGCCAAUAUUGAACACUAGAACAUGUUACUCAAUAGCAAGAUGCACCAUGUCAUUUUACAAAAAAAUGUUUCUUUCCUUUUGAAGAUGUGUUUUGUGUUAGGCGGAAGUUUGUAUUUAAGUAUUUGUUCAUGUCAGAAAAAAGGUUAUCGUUUAUUGUAAAGUUUUUUUUGUGUUGACCAGUUUUUCAUCUGAAAUGCAUCCUAGAUGGAGUUUUACAUGAUUGUUAAUAAUGUCACUGUAACCAUGUGAAUACAUUAGCUUUUAAUUUGUAUAAAGCACCCGUUUUCUCACAAAGAUUUUCCUAUUGAUCGGUGCUAGUUGUCAUUUAUGACAUACAUUAAGAUGGCCGUAAUGUAAAUGGUGCAUAUUUACAUCACUUUAGGGCCUUGAAUCAUUUGUAUGCAUCACACAAAUGGAUAUCUUGAGUGAGUAUAAAGGUAUUGAUUAGUUAAAGGUCCAAUGCAGCCAUUUACAAUUAAGUACCUUACUGUGAUUGUUUUUUUCUCUCAAUUAAAACAGUAAAAAAAUAAAUAAAAUAAAAAAUUGCUUCUUAAUUUCUCAAGCAAGAAUUUUGCUUGGACCGCCUGUGAGUGGUGGGGAGGAUAAAAGUGAAAACUAGCUGUUAUUGGCAGAGUUUGAGUUUGGAACUCUCUUUCUUAUUGGUGUAUACUAAUGUCACCAGGCAGGUCAAAACCCCAUCCCACCAAGAGGCAGUCAUUCAAAUCUUUUCAAACAGCUUUUACACUGAAAGGGUAUAUCACAACCUCAUAGUGUGAAAAUAUUUGUAAAACACAGGAAAUCAAGUUAUUUACUGCACUGGGCCUUUAAAGAAACAAACCUUUAUUAGUAUUUU